GCUUGCCCAGUCUGCAAACCAGUCCUAGAUUUGGGGGAGAGUCUUCCCUGGUGGUUCUGAGAACAAAGACACGUUGGCAUCAGUAAUCUUCUAAUUCCAGUGCCUGAUGUGUCAAUGAGCAGCUCUAAAUCAGAGCUGCAGCUCCAGUCUGAGCCUUUGCUGUGGGACUUGGUUUCAAUCAACUCUGCCAGCACCUGGGAGAAAGCAUUUGAGCAGAUUUCUGUUCCAAGAACCAGCUGGGAGGUGCCAGGGAAAUGAGCAGAGCAGCCUGGGCACAGCUCUCAGGUCACUCUGGGCUGUGCAUGAAGCUCCAGCUCUUGCUGCCCCACCUGGGUGGCAAAGAAGGACUGAAAUGGCUUUUUCCAGCUCUGGUUUUCAGGAGACUGAACCAACUACAGCUCCCAGUAAGGCUGCCAUGACAUAAACUACCUUCUUCUGGGUUUUAUUUUUCAAUUUAAUUUGUGUAAAUAAAAUUAUUGAUUCUUCCAUAUCAUUA